rnacentral:tmRNA from 1 species
GGGGGCGAAAGGAUUUCGACGGGGAAUCCGAGUCUUGAUAAGCGAGCAGAGGCGAGGCACCUCUAUAAAAGCUUCAAUGUUAUAAAAUAAAUAACAAAAAUACAGUUUUAGCAGCUGCCUAAGUGCAGCAGCCGUCAUUCCCGGGAGUACCGCGGCCCGGUGCGUGGCGUCAUGUAGCGGUGAACGUGUAUGAGAAAUAGCCUUGUAUUUCAUCACGCAUUAAAGGGCUGGUUUUCUUCGGAGUGUGUUGCUUCACGCCGAAGAGAACGAGAAUAAAUAAGCAAAUACGCUCGUAGAAAGUUGGGAGGAAGGUUUUUCGGACAGGGGUUCGACUCCCCUCGCCUCCACCA